GGGUUGUGAGGUUAAGCGACUAAGCGUACACGGUGGAUGCCCUGGCAGUCAGAGGCGAUGAAGGACGUGCUAAUCUGCGAUAAGCGUCGGUAAGGUGAUAUGAACCGUUAUAACCGGCGAUUUCCGAAUGGGGAAACCCAGUGUGAUUCGUCACACUAUCAUUAACUGAAUCCAUAGGUUAAUGAGGCGAACCGGGGGAACUGAAACAUCUAAGUACCCCGAGGAAAAGAAAUCAACCGAGAUUCCCCCAGUAGCGGCGAGCGAACGGGGAGCAGCCCAGAGCCUGAAUCAGUGUGUGUGUUAGUGGAAGCGUCUGGAAAGGCGCGCGAUACAGGGUGACAGCCCCGUACACAAAAAUGCACAUGCUGUGAGCUCGAUGAGUAGGGCGGGACACGUGGUAUCCUGUCUGAAUAUGGGGGGACCAUCCUCCAAGGCUAAAUACUCCUGACUGACCGAUAGUGAACCAGUACCGUGAGGGAAAGGCGAAAAGAACCCCGGCGAGGGGAGUGAAAAAGAACCUGAAACCGUGUACGUACAAGCAGUGGGAGCACGCUUAGGCGUGUGACUGCGUACCUUUUGUAUAAUGGGUCAGCGACUUAUAUUCUGUAGCAAGGUUAACCGAAUAGGGGAGCCGAAGGGAAACCGAGUCUUAACUGGGCGUUAAGUUGCAGGGUAUAGACCCGAAACCCGGUGAUCUAGCCAUGGGCAGGUUGAAGGUUGGGUAACACUAACUGGAGGACCGAACCGACUAAUGUUGAAAAAUUAGCGGAUGACUUGUGGCUGGGGGUGAAAGGCCAAUCAAACCGGGAGAUAGCUGGUUCUCCCCGAAAGCUAUUUAGGUAGCGCCUCGUGAAUUCAUCUCCGGGGGUAGAGCACUGUUUCGGCAAGGGGGUCAUCCCGACUUACCAACCCGAUGCAAACUGCGAAUACCGGAGAAUGUUAUCACGGGAGACACACGGCGGGUGCUAACGUCCGUCGUGAAGAGGGAAACAACCCAGACCGCCAGCUAAGGUCCCAAAGUCAUGGUUAAGUGGGAAACGAUGUGGGAAGGCCCAGACAGCCAGGAUGUUGGCUUAGAAGCAGCCAUCAUUUAAAGAAAGCGUAAUAGCUCACUGGUCGAGUCGGCCUGCGCGGAAGAUGUAACGGGGCUAAACCAUGCACCGAAGCUGCGGCAGCGACGCUUAUGCGUUGUUGGGUAGGGGAGCGUUCUGUAAGCCUGUGAAGGUGUACUGUGAGGUAUGCUGGAGGUAUCAGAAGUGCGAAUGCUGACAUAAGUAACGAUAAAGCGGGUGAAAAGCCCGCUCGCCGGAAGACCAAGGGUUCCUGUCCAACGUUAAUCGGGGCAGGGUGAGUCGACCCCUAAGGCGAGGCCGAAAGGCGUAGUCGAUGGGAAACAGGUUAAUAUUCCUGUACUUGGUGUUACUGCGAAGGGGGGACGGAGAAGGCUAUGUUGGCCGGGCGACGGUUGUCCCGGUUUAAGCGUGUAGGCUGGUUUUCCAGGCAAAUCCGGAAAAUCAAGGCUGAGGCGUGAUGACGAGGCACUACGGUGCUGAAGCAACAAAUGCCCUGCUUCCAGGAAAAGCCUCUAAGCAUCAGGUAACAUCAAAUCGUACCCCAAACCGACACAGGUGGUCAGGUAGAGAAUACCAAGGCGCUUGAGAGAACUCGGGUGAAGGAACUAGGCAAAAUGGUGCCGUAACUUCGGGAGAAGGCACGCUGAUAUGUAGGUGAAGCGACUUGCUCGUGGAGCUGAAAUCAGUCGAAGAUACCAGCUGGCUGCAACUGUUUAUUAAAAACACAGCACUGUGCAAACACGAAAGUGGACGUAUACGGUGUGACGCCUGCCCGGUGCCGGAAGGUUAAUUGAUGGGGUUAGCGCAAGCGAAGCUCUUGAUCGAAGCCCCGGUAAACGGCGGCCGUAACUAUAACGGUCCUAAGGUAGCGAAAUUCCUUGUCGGGUAAGUUCCGACCUGCACGAAUGGCGUAAUGAUGGCCAGGCUGUCUCCACCCGAGACUCAGUGAAAUUGAACUCGCUGUGAAGAUGCAGUGUACCCGCGGCAAGACGGAAAGACCCCGUGAACCUUUACUAUAGCUUGACACUGAACAUUGAGCCUUGAUGUGUAGGAUAGGUGGGAGGCUUUGAAGUGUGGACGCCAGUCUGCAUGGAGCCGACCUUGAAAUACCACCCUUUAAUGUUUGAUGUUCUAACGUGGACCCGUAAUCCGGGUUGCGGACAGUGUCUGGUGGGUAGUUUGACUGGGGCGGUCUCCUCCUAAAGAGUAACGGAGGAGCACGAAGGUUGGCUAAUCCUGGUCGGACAUCAGGAGGUUAGUGCAAUGGCAUAAGCCAGCUUGACUGCGAGCGUGACGGCGCGAGCAGGUGCGAAAGCAGGUCAUAGUGAUCCGGUGGUUCUGAAUGGAAGGGCCAUCGCUCAACGGAUAAAAGGUACUCCGGGGAUAACAGGCUGAUACCGCCCAAGAGUUCAUAUCGACGGCGGUGUUUGGCACCUCGAUGUCGGCUCAUCACAUCCUGGGGCUGAAGUAGGUCCCAAGGGUAUGGCUGUUCGCCAUUUAAAGUGGUACGCGAGCUGGGUUUAGAACGUCGUGAGACAGUUCGGUCCCUAUCUGCCGUGGGCGCUGGAGAACUGAGGGGGGCUGCUCCUAGUACGAGAGGACCGGAGUGGACGCAUCACUGGUGUUCGGGUUGUCAUGCCAAUGGCACUGCCCGGUAGCUAAAUGCGGAAGAGAUAAGUGCUGAAAGCAUCUAAGCACGAAACUUGCCCCGAGAUGAGUUCUCCCUGACCCUUUAAGGGUCCUGAAGGAACGUUGAAGACGACGACGUUGAUAGGCCGGGUGUGUAAGCGCAGCGAUGCGUUGAGCUAACCGGUACUAAUGAACCGUGAGGCUUAACCUUACAACGCCGAAGCUGUU
rnacentral:rRNA from 1 species